rnacentral:tRNA from 1 species
GCAGUGGUAGUUCAGUGGUAGAAUUCUCGCCUUCCACGUGGGAGACCUGGGUUCCCUUCCCAGCUAAUGCA